rnacentral:rRNA from 1 species
GAGUUCAGAUCCGCCGGGAGGGGGGGAAAUUCGUGGGAGGCGAGAGGUGUGCUGUGGUGGUUGGCGGCAAGGGAGGGGAGGCGGCCAGACAAGUCCGUCUGAAAAGGGCGGGACUCAACCCCGUGAUGUGAGGGAAACUGUCGGUGUGGAGUGGCGGAGAGGAAAGCGGAAUUCCUAGUGUAGCGGUGAAAUGCGUAGAUAUUAGGAGGAAAACCAGUGUCGAAAGCGGCUUUCUGGACGACAACUGACGCUGAGGCGCGAAAGCCAGGGGAGCAAACGGGAUUAGAUACCCUUGUAGUC